CCGAAAGUAACAAGAAUCCCAUUACACACCUGAAAGGCCACCGGGAGCCCGUCAUCCUCAGCAGUCCACAAGAGAAAAGAAGGUGACGCAGUCCAAGGAGCCCAGCGGAGAGUCCUGAGAGGGCACCCGCACAUUUCGCUCUGAGGAAGCUGAGAAAGACAGAGGAGGAAAGAGGAGGAGGGGCUGCCAUUGCUACACCAGCCCCGGUCCGCCCUCCCUUUCCCAGCCUCCGCCGCCGACGUGUCCCCCUCCUCCCCGUCCUCCCCGGCUGCCUGCCCCUUUCUCCUGUAUCGCAAGAUGCAGCCCACGCCACCAUCUUAGGAGAAGGCUGGCACGAAAUGGAAGUGCGAACCAGAGCAGGUUCAAUCGGCCAUUACCUCACUUCCUUGCAUAUUGAGGGUGGAAAGAGAGACAGUGUGACAUCAUCUUGACCUCUGGCUAAGCCCUUACUAUAGCGCUCACUCCCCUGCAGCCUCCAUCAUGGCACAGUGUCAGUUGCCUGUGCUUGGAACUAGACCACAAAGUAACACUCCAGUUUCAUUUGGUUUGUGCCCCAACAUUUGAAUCUUGAAGCACGUCAUCAACAUUGCAGAGUUCCUGGGAUCUGGUUAAAAUUUGGACAUGUGCUUUGAGGGCUAGAUAUCAGUCUUCAAGGCCAGCAUUGACUGGAGCGUUGUCUUUGAUGAUAUGAUCUGUGACAAGUAAAUGGGGAAUUGGGGAUUCUGCCACUCCCCUGGAAACAAGAUGCCUGGAUUCCAAGAGCAAUUUUGGACCGAGAAACUUUAGAAGAACGCACGCACUUGGAAAUACCCGACCAUGUCAGAAAAAUUGUUUUGUCUCUCAAAUCUUGCAGAAUAGGGGCUACUUGCUGCUGGUCCUGGAGGGCCACAACUCAGAAAUCUUUUUAGCUCUGUUUAAACCACUUAUGCCCUUCACAAUUAGAAAGGUUCAGGCAGUUCAGUAAGAUGAUUAGCUCAGUCAGGUGGUCGAAUGCUGUGGCUGAAUGAAAGCCAGCAGAUAUGGUGGCCCUCCAGGACUAAGACUGAAUAAUCUGGGGGGGCAAUCUUGGGCAGAUAUCAUUCUGGAUCUUCUAUAGACAUGGUUUUGUUGUUCUACUGCAAUACAUCAUGCUCCAUAUAUUGACAAUUUGUCGAUAAACAUAGGGAACUACUUGCCCAGAGAGAAAACUUUUAUAUUUCAAUAUUUUCAUGGUAUUAGAAUACCUUAUGAUGUCAUGUUUAUGAUGUAUAUGGUUUGGAAACUUUCUUAAAGUUUUAUUAUGAAACAGACAUAUAUUACAACAUCCAUGCUGCAUAAUAAUAAUAACAAUAAUAAUAAUAAUAAUAAUAGUAAUAAUAAUAAUCAUCAUCAUCAUCAUCAUCAUCGUCACUAUCAUCAGUCAAAGCAAGUAGUUCUGGGAAACUCUUUCAUAGGCUGAUACAUAUAUGAUAUCUCAUGUUUGCCAUUUCAUGUUCUACUCCUGUGCUGUGCACCAGGUGCUAUAUUGCUGUGAUAGUCCAUGUCCAUUUAACUGAAGCUAAAUAUGCAUAUCAGUUCAUUAGCUCUACACAUAGAUUAUAAUGUGUAUAUUUGUAUUUACCACUUUACUUUGGUGUGUUAUUUUUUAAGGAAAUCUCAGGGGUUAGUUUUGAGAAACUGUUGCUCAAAUGAGCUAUGUUCCUCCUUUAGAGUUUUUAUAUUUUAAGUCAAUAUUGUGCCUUAAAUUACCCUGAGAGGGUGUGGCCCUCCGGAUGGUUCUCUGUUCAUAUUCAUAGAUGCUUUUUUAUAGAUUAUUUAAGCCAUGCUCCAUCCCCCAUGGCUCUUCAUGAUUGACAGGUGUCUGAAUGUGAAGCCCACGGCAGCAGUGAAAUGGAACUGCACUGUGAUUGGACAGUCGUGUGUGAUUGGUGACACACAGGUGAAGGAGUGAGCUGUCUUCUUUAUUUUCUAUGCAAAUGUAUGGGACAUGCAAUCAACUGGGAUGUGGGAGGGCAUGUAGACAACUCUCAGCUCUUCAGCAACACUCUCAGGAUAUGUGACUGUGGAUCUGAUUAAAUUAGUUACACGCAUGACGCAAAAAAUGCAUACAACUACAAUGGUGUUGAUGAGAGUUGGCAGAAGUAUUUACACUUUGGACUGCAGUAGCAAAGUCCUGGAAUAUCUCUGUGCAGUUUUAGAGUUAUUUCAAUCUUUGGCAUGUAGGUGGAUGUUUAGUGUGUGUGUGUGUGUGUGUGUGUGUGUGUGCGUGUUUGUGUGCGUGUUUGUGCAUUGGAGGGGGGGGGUCGUAUUUCUUGAGUAGAUAAUAUCAGACCGGACAGCUUCUAAUUUUCCAACUUAAUAUUAGUACAAAAGCCAAUGUUGAAAUGGCUGGUAAAACUCAGAUGACAAAAAUGGUUAAAAAAAAGAAUAUUCUGGAUUCUAAGAUUGUGUCUGACCGGAAACCCAGUUCGAAGUUACACGUUAUUGAGGGAGCAAAAGCAAUUUUAAGCAUGUACUAUCAUGGUUAUUGUAAUUACUUAAAAACAUUUUUUACAUCUGUUCUGGGAGUAGUUGCAAAACUCGUAUAUUUAAUGAUACACUAUGCAAAUAAGAUGAGUAUUUUAUUAAUCCACCGAUGGUAAGGUGCCUGUGCAAUUAAGACUAAUAGUUGUGGGAUGUGGCAAUGUGGGCGAAGAUAUAUAUACAUAUAUAUAUAUAUAUAUAUAUAUAUAUAUAUGUAUUGGCUGAGAGUCUGUAUAUCUGUAUGGUAUGAUGACAUACAUUUAGAGGAGUUCAGUUGAUUGCAGUCCUUGUUUACAGAACCUUCUCCUUUCCACUCUUUGAGUUGAUCAUAUAUCAGUUAUCAGAAAGAGUGAGGUUUCUAUGCAUGCAUUAUUCUUAUGUACGUGCUUGUAUGUAUUUUUGUAUUAUGUUGCACUUCCAUUUGCUAGAUUUGCACUGUGAACUCCAAUCUUAUGUGUACCACAUGUGCCUGUUCCACAGACUGUGUUCUGUUAUGGAUUUAAAUAUACAAUCAAUAAAUGUUUACACUGGAAAAGAUCA